AACCAUUUCCCUGAUUACUUGAAGACCCUAAACCUAAUUUUCUAACCUAGAGAAGAACACCCCUCCCAGUCGUUCCCUCUUCUUCAUCUCACAACCUAGGAACCCUUCUUCUUCUUUAACCCUAGGCCUAACCUAGAAGAACCCCUGAAAAUUGGUUGCUCACCCGGAUGAGAUGACCUUUUCCCUUCCUUCUUCUUAGAUUAACACACACACACGACACAAUCAAUGAAGGGGAAAAAGAUGAGAAAUCUAAAAAAAAGUGGAAGCUAAAAGACCUAAUCUUGAAAGAGACGCACAACACCCACCAAAAUCGGCCUCUAUCAUCUCCCUCACUCUUCUCCAUCUCUAAGCUGCGAUCUCAAUCUCAAAAACAUAGAACCUAAGUGCCGUUGCCUUCUUCCAAAAACACCCAACCAGCCAUGGCCAAAAUGACCUCAUUCCUCAUUUUCCUCACCCGGUUUCAUCGGUAACAGUCCGGUGACAGCCAUGGUUGAACAACAUCGACGAACCACCACUGUUUCACCAUUUUCUGUCUAAUGUUCUCACUUUGUUAUCUCGUUCACAGAUCUGAAGGGAAAUAAAUAAAAAGUUUUAAUUCUUCUUAGUUUCAAUUUGACUCCAAAUUCAAAAAUACACAAAAAAUAAAUAAUCAAGUUUCCGCUCUGACUUUGGGUUCCAAAAACAUGGAGAUUAGUUGAGGGUCGUUGACUUCUCGUGAGGUUCAAGUUCGUUGGUUCCUAAUCAAUUUCUAUUGCUGUCUUGCUCGUUUGCUACUGGAUGCACAAAUUCCGGCGCCGGAUUUGCUUGUAAUAGCUUCUGAACAAGGUUAAUCGAGAGUUUAAUUCAGUGUGGAUCUACUUACCAGAGCUUGAGCAUGACAGACGCCCAAGGACCCUCUUAGUCAGGACCAUUGCAUCCAAGAGUUGUGUCACGACCCUAAACCGGACCCGGUCGUGAUAGCGCCUCUCGUGAAGACAAGGCCAGUCGACACAAUUCCCAAAUUCAGUUUUAACAGUUUAAUAAGUCAAUUUAAGUCAUUUAUAAGGAUAAAUCCCCAACAACUAUAGAUUUAGCGAAA